CAGCAGCCGCGGUAAUACGAAGGGGGCUAGCGUUGCUCGGAAUUACUGGGCGUAAAGGGAGCGUAGGCGGACAUUUAAGUCAGGGGUGAAAUCCCAGAGCUCAACUCUGGAACUGCCUUUGGUACUGGGUGUCUUGAGUGUGAUAGAGGUAUGUGGAACUCCGAGUGUAGAGGUGAAAUUCGUAGAUAUUCGGAAGAACACCAGUGGCGAAGGCGACAUACUGGAUCAUUACUGACGCUGAGGCUCGAAAGCGUGGGGAGCAAACAGGAUUAGAUACCCGUGUAGUCCCUGUCUCUUAUAC
rnacentral:rRNA from 1 species